ACACCAAUGCCAGAGUUGGAAUAGCCUCUAAAUGUCAUAAUUGCUGGGUCUGUUGCCACCUGCAUCCAAUAAAAAAAUGACUGACCCCGUUACUAAUCUCCUCAACAGGAAAUAUUAUUGGAAAUGCAGAUUAGCAAGCAAUGUUCAAAGAUAUAUUGUCACCUGACUUCAUUUUAGAUUUUCCAAACAGCAAUAACAGUUUGCAAAGAUUCACAUCACGCCGCCCUUGUACCGUGAGUGUCCUGUUUAAACUAACACCACAUGCCAGACGCGCCUGAUGCCCCGAAACUAAAACUGGGAUC
rnacentral:lncRNA from 1 species